rnacentral:rRNA from 1 species
CGGAUAUGAGUAGAGCGGCGGACGGGUGAGUAACGCGUAGGAAUCUACCUAGUAGAAGGGGAUAGCCCGAGGAAACUCGGAUUAAUACCGUAUACCUCUUCGGGAGAAAGAAGGCCUCUCUUUGAAGCUUUCGCUACUAGAUGAGCCUGCGUAAGAUUAGCUUGUUGGUGAGGUAAAGGCUCACCAAGGCUACGAUCUUUAGCGGGUCUGAGAGGACGAUCCGCCACAUUGGGACUGAGACACGGCCCAGACUCCUACGGGAGGCAGCAGUGGGGAAUAUUGGACAAUGGGCGAAAGCCUGAUCCAGCCAUACCGCGUGUGUGAAGAAGGCCCUAGGGUUGUAAAGCACUUUAAGUUGGGAAGAAAAGUUAUUGGUUAAUACCCAAUGACCGUGACAUUACCAUCAGAAUAAGGACCGGCUAAUUCCGUGCCAGCAGCCGCGGUAAUACGGAAGGUCCAAGCGUUAAUCGGAAUUACUGGGCGUAAAGCGCGCGUAGGUGGUUUAUUAAGUUGGGUGUGAAAUCCCCGGGCUCAACCUGGGAACUGCAUCCAAAACUGAUUCACUAGAGUACGAUAGAGGGAGGUAGAAUUCACAGUGUAGCGGUGGAAUGCGUAGAUAUUGUGAAGAAUACCAAUGGCGAAGGCAGCCUCCUGGAUCUGUACUGACACUGAGGUGCGAAAGCGUGGGUAGCGAACAGGAUUAGAUACCCUGGUAGUCCACGCCGUAAACGAUGUCAACUAUCUGUUGGAAAGCAUUGCUUUUCAGUGGAGCAGCUAACGUAAUAAGUUGACCGCCUGGGGAGUACGGCCGCAAGGCUAAAACUCAAAUGAAUUGACGGGGACCCGCACAAGCGGUGGAGCAUGUGGUUUAAUUCGAUGCAACGCGAAAAACCUUACCUA